rnacentral:rRNA from 1 species
ACGAGGGGGGCAAGCGUUGUUCGGAAUUAUUGGGCGUAAAGGGCGCGUAGGCGGUGCGGUAAGUCACCUGUGAAACCUCUAGGCUCAACCUAGAGCCUGCAGGCGAAACUGCCGUGCUUGAGGGUGGGAGAGGUGCGUGGAAUUCCCGGUGUAGCGGUGAAAUGCGUAGAUAUCUGGAGGAACACCGGUGGCGAAGGCGGCAUCCUGGACCAUUACUGACGCUGAGGAGCGAAAGCCAGGGGAGCAAACGGGA